rnacentral:rRNA from 1 species
GACAGAGGGUGCAAACGUUGCUCGGAAUUACUGGGCGUAAAGCGCGUGUAGGCGGUUCCGCACGUCCGGUGUGAAAGCCCGGGGCUCAACCCCGGAAGGGCGCUGGAUACGACGGAACUGGAGUCCUGAAGAGGCGAGUGGAAUUCCCGGUGUAGAGGUGAAAUUCGUAGUUAUCGGGAGGAACACCAGUGGCGAAGGCGACUCGCUGGGCAGAGACUGACGCUGGAGACGCGAAAGCCAGGGAGCAAACGGG